GACGAACGCUGGCGGCGUGCUUAACACAUGCAAGUCGAGCGGUAAGGCCCUUUCGGGGGUACACGAGCGGCGAACGGGUGAGUAACACGUGGGUGACCUGCCCUCAGCUCUGGGAUAAGCCCGGGAAACUGGGUCUAAUACUGGAUAUGACUCCAUGACGCAUGUUGUGGGGUGGAAAGCCUUGUGCGGCUGAGGAUGGGCCCGCGGCCUAUCAGCUUGUUGGUGAGGUAACGGCUCACCAAGGCGACGACGGGUAGCCGGCCUGAGAGGGCGACGGCCACACUGGGACUGAGACACGGCCCAGACUCCUACGGGAGGCAGCAGUGGGGAAUAUUGCACAAUGGCGCAAGCCUGAUGCAGCGACGCCGGCGUGGGGGAUG
rnacentral:rRNA from 1 species